rnacentral:rRNA from 1 species
CCUACGUGUGGCAGCAGUGGGGCAUCUUGCACAAUGAGGGAAACCCUGAUGCAGCGACGCCGCGUUAAGGAAGAAGUCUUUCGGUAUGUAAACUUCUCUCAGCAGGGAAGAAAAUGACGGUACCUGACUACGACUCCCCGCCUAACUACGUUCCAGCAGCCGCGGUCAUACGUCGGGAGCAAGCGUUAUCCGGAUUUACUGGGUGUAAAGGGUACGUCGGCGGUUUAGCAAGUCAGAAGGGAAAGCCCGGGGCUCAACUCCGGGACUGCUUUUGCAACUGGUGAACUAGAUUGCAGGAGAGGUAAGUGGAAGUCCUAGUGUAGCGGUGAAAAGCGGAGAUAUUAGGAGGAACACCAGUGGCGAAGGCGGCUUACUGGACUGUAAAUGACGCUGAGGCUCGAAAGCGUGGGGAGCAAACAGGAUUAGAUACCCGGGUAGUC